GGGGACCUGCGGAAGGAUCAUUACCGAGUGUAGGGUUCCUAGCGAGCCCAACCUCCCACCCGUGUUUACUGUACACUUAGUUGCUUCGGCGGGCCCGCCAUUCAUGGCCGCCGGGGGCUCUCAGCCCCGGGCCCGCGCCCGCCGGAGACACCACGAACUCUGUCUGAUCUAGUGAAGUCUGAGUUGAUUGUAUCGCAAUCAGUUAAAACUUUCAACAAUGGAUCUCUUGGUUCCGGCAUCGAUGAAGAACGCAGCGAAAUGCGAUAACUAGUGUGAAUUGCAGAAUUCCGUGAAUCAUCGAGUCUUUGAACGCACAUUGCGCCCCCUGGUAUUCCGGGGGGCAUGCCUGUCCGAGCGUCAUUGCUGCCCAUCAAGCACGGCUUGUGUGUUGGGUCGUCGUCCCCUCUCCGGGGGGGACGGGCCCCAAAGGCAGCGGCGGCACCGCGUCCGAUCCUCGAGCGUAUGGGGCUUUGUCACCCGCUCUGUAGGCCCGGCCGGCGCUUGCCGAACGCAAAUCAAUCUUUUUCCAGGUUGACCUCGGAUCAGGUAGGGAUACCCGCUGAACUUAAGCAUAUCAA
rnacentral:rRNA from 1 species